rnacentral:rRNA from 1 species
GACGAACGCUGGCGGCGUGCUUAACACAUGCAAGUCGAGCGAUGAAGUUCCUUCGGGAAUGGAUUAGCGGCGGACGGGUGAGUAACACGUGGGUAACCUGCCUCGUAGAGGGGAAUAGCCUUCCGAAAGGAAGAUUAAUACCGCAUAAGAUUGUAGUACCGCAUGGUAUAGCAAUUAAAGGAGUAAUCCGCUAUGAGAUGGACCCGCGUCGCAUUAGCUAGUUGGUGAGGUAACGGCUCACCAAGGCGACGAUACGUAGCCGACCUGAGAGGGUGAUCGGCCACAUUGGGACGAAGACACGGCCCAGACUCCUACGGGAGGCAGCAGUGGGGAAUAUUGCACAAUGGGGGAAACCCUGAUGCAGCAACGCCGCGUGAGUGAUGACGGUCUUCGGAUUGUAAAGCUCUGUCUUCAGGGACGAUAAUGACGGUACCUGAGGAGGAAGCCACGGCUAACUACGUGCCAGCCGCCGCCGUAA